GAGGGUAUAGCUCAGUGGUAGACUGCAUGCUUAGCAUGCAUGAGGUCCUGGGUUCAAUCCCCAGUACCUCCA
rnacentral:tRNA from 1 species